rnacentral:lncRNA from 1 species
CCCGCCCGACCGCCCGCCCGCCCCGCGCUGCUCCGCGGCGCCUUUUCUGCACUCGCCGCUCCACGGAGCGGGAGCCUCGGCCCUCUGCGCGGCUGCAGCGAGCUGCCCUGCGUCCGGCCCGGCCCCCGCCUUAGGGAUGGCAAACUUGCGCCCUGUGGCCGCCUCCGCCAGCGCCGGCCCCGCUCCUGCUGCUGACGGCGCCCAGGUCUCUGGAGCCUGUGACUGUCAGUUUCCCCUCCUCUCAUGGAUUCUUCAGCAUCCCACUGGGCCUCUUAGAA